UUUUUUUUUUUGAAAACCCAUCGGUUGGAUUUUAAAGGUGCCCACCUUCUGCUAAAUAAUUUUUUGUGUUGUUGAUUUGAUUUUUCAGUAUAAUAAUGGUUUUAUUCAAUUGAAGGGUGUUAGUUUUUUUGGUAAUCAAGUCAAACUUGAGUUUGCAGACUCGUUCAUCACGGUGAUGGUGAUUCUGGUUUGGUGGUGCCAUAAUCCAUCUAGGUAGGAUGAGGGGAGGUCGAAGAGGUUGUGAGUGGACGACGAUGAGGAGAGCGUAACAAGUGGAAAUCGACGGCAGGGACGAGAAAUGAGACGUUGGAAGGGAGAAUGGAGAAGGCGGUGAAGAUCGUUGGUGGAGUGUUAAACUCUUCCUCCACUGUAGAUGUGUAAAAUUUCAGAUCUGAAGGUCGAAGAAAUGUGAAAGAAAAACAGAAAAAAAAAAUAUAGUGCACAUAGACCAUGAUAAAAUCAAUACACCUCUUUAAUCUAAUGACUAAAAUUUACUUUCCCAUGAUGGGAAACAACUAUCCAU
rnacentral:lncRNA from 1 species